AUUGAACGCUGGCGGCAGGCCUAACACAUGCAAGUCGAGCGAGCGGCGGACGGGUGAGUAAUGUAUGGGGAUCUGCCCGAUAGAGGGGGAUAACUACUGGAAACAGUGGCUAAUACCGCAUACUCUCGGAUAGACCCAUAUGGGAUUAGCUAGGUGGUGGGGUAAAGGCUCACCUAGGCCACGAUCUCUAGCUGGGCUGAGAGGAUGAUCAGCCACACUGGGACUGAGAAACGGCCCAGACUCCUACGGGAGGCAGCAGUGGGGAAGAUUGGACAAUGGGCGAAAGCCGGAUGCAGCCAUGCCGGGUGUAUGAAGAAGGCCUUAGGGUUGUAAAGUACUUUCAGCGGGGAGGCGUUACCCGCAGAAGAAGCACCGGCUAACUCCGUGCCAGCAGCCGCGGUAAUUC
rnacentral:rRNA from 1 species